rnacentral:rRNA from 1 species
CCUACGGGAGGCAGCAGUGAGGAAUAUUGGUCAAUGGGCGUAAGCCUGAACCAGCCAAGUCGCGUGAGGGAUGAAGGUUCUAUGGAUCGUAAACCUCUUUUAUAAGGGAAUAAAGUGCGGGACGUGUCCCGUUUUGUAUGUACCUUAUGAAUAAGGAUCGGCUAACUCCGUGCCAGCAGCCGCGGUAAUACGGAGGAUCCGAGCGUUAUCCGGAUUUAUUGGGUUUAAAGGGUGCGUAGGCGGCCUUUUAAGUCAGCGGUGAAAGUCUGUGGCUCAACCAUAGAAUUGCCGUUGAAACUGGGAGUCGUGAGUAUGUUUGAGGCAGGCGGAAUGCGUGGUGUAGCGGUGAAAUGCUUAGAUAUCACGCAGAACUCCGAUUGCGAAGGCAGCAUACCGGCGCCCGACUGACGCUGAAGCACGAAAGCGUGGGUAUCGAACAGGAUUAGAUACCCUUGUAGUC